UACAGAGGGGGCAAGCGUUGUUCGGAAUUACUGGGCGUAAAGGGCGCGUAGGCGGCCCUGUAAGUCAAAGGUGAAAUCCCUCGGCUCAACUGAGGAACUGCCUUUGAAACUGCAGGCUUGAGGCCGGGAGGGGGUAGCGGAAUUCCCAAUGUAGCGGUGAAAUGCGUAGAUAUUGGGAGGAACACCAGUGGCGAAGGCGGCUACCUGGACCGGGUUCUGACGCUGAGGCGCGAAAGCGUGGGUAGCAAACAGG
rnacentral:rRNA from 1 species